GAUGUACGCCGGCGGCGUGAUUACUAUAUGCAAGUCGAGCGAACAGACGAGGAGCUUUCUCCUCUGACGUUAGCGGCGGACGGGUGAGUAACACGUGGAUAACCUACCUAUAAGACUGGGAUAACUUCGGGAAACCGGAGCUAAUACCGGAUAAUAUAUUGAACCGCAUGGUUCAAUAGUGACAGACGGUUUUGCUGCCACUUAUAGAUGGAUCCGCUCCGAAUUAGCUAGUUGGUAAGGUAACGGCUUACCAAGGCCACGAUGCGUAGCCGACCUGAGAGGGUGAUCGGCCACACUGGAACUGAGACACGGUCCAGACUCCUACGGGAGGCAGCAGUAGGGAAUCUUCCGCAAUGGGCGAAAGCCUGACGGAGCAACGCCGCGUGAGUGAUGAAGGUCUUCGGAUCGUAAAACUCUGUUAUUAGGGAAGAACAAAUGUGUAAGUAACUAUGCACGUCUUGACGGUACCUAAUCAGAAAGCCACGGCUAACUACGUG
rnacentral:rRNA from 1 species